rnacentral:rRNA from 1 species
UACGGAGGAUGCGAGCGUUAUCCGGAUUUAUUGGGUUUAAAGGGUGCGUAGGUUGUUUUAUAAGUUAGCGGUGAAAUACCGAUGCUCAACAUCGGGGCUGCCGCUGAUACCGUAGGACUAGAGAUCGGAUGCAGCAGGCGGAAUGCGUGGUGUAGCGGUGAAAUGCAUAGAUAUCACGCAGAACUCCGAUUGCGAAGGCAGCAUACCGGCGCGCAACUGACGCUCAUGCACGAAAGCGUGGGUAUCGAACAGG